rnacentral:tRNA from 1 species
GGUUUGUGGCUCAGUGGUGGAGCGAUUGCCUAGCACAUGUGAGGCCCUGGGUUUGAUCCCCAGCACCA